AUUGAACGCUGGCGGCAGGCCUAACACAUGCAAGUCGAACGGUAACAGGAAACAGCUUGCUGUUUCGCUGACGAGUGACGGACGGGUGAGUAAUGUCUGGGAAACUGCCUGAUGGAGGGGGAUAACUACUGGAAACGGUAGCUAAUACCGCAUAACGUCGCAAGACCAAAGAGGGGGACCUUCGGGCCUCUUGCCAUCGGAUGUGCCCAGAUGGGAUUAGCUAGUAGGUGGGGUAACGGCUCACCUAGGCGACGAUCCCUAGCUGGUCUGAGAGGAUGACCAGCCACACUGGAACUGAGACACGGUCCAGACUCCUACGGGAGGCAGCAGUGGGGAAUAUUGCACAAUGGGCGCAAGCCUGAUGCAGCCAUGCCGCGUGUAUGAAGAAGGCCUUCGGGUUGUAAAGUACUUUCAGCGGGGAGGAAGGGAGUAAAGUUAAUACCUUUGCUCAUUGACGUUACCCGCAGAAGAAGCACCGGCUAACUCCGUG
rnacentral:rRNA from 1 species